rnacentral:rRNA from 1 species
AGGAUGAACGCUGGCGGCGUGCCUAAGACAUGCAAGUCGAGUGGGUUUAGACCCACGGCGAACGGGUGAGUAAUACCUAGGAAUGUCCUUUAAGUUGAGCAUAUCCCGCCGAAAGGCGGAGCAAUUCUCGAUGUGAUCGCAAGAUUAAAGUCGCAAGACGCUUAAAGCGCAGCCUGGGCACCAUCAGCUAGUUGGUAAGGUAAUGGCUUACCAAGGCUAUGACGGUUAGGGGCCCCGAGAGGGGAGACCUCCACACUGGAACUGCGACACGGUCCAGACUCCUACGGGAGGCAGCAGUUUGGAAUUUUGGACAAUGGGCGAAAGCCUGAUCCAGCGACGCCGCGUGGACGACGAAGGCCUUCGGGUCGUAAAGUCCUUUUGCUCGGGAACAAUUUUGAGCGUACGAGAGAAUAAGAGGUUGCUAACUCUGCGCCAGCAGCCGC